GAUGAACGCUGGCGGCGUGCCUAAUACAUGCAAGCCGAGCGAACAGACGAGGAGCUUGCUCCUCUGACGUUAGCGGCGGACGGGUGAGUAACACGUGGAUAACCUACCUAUAAGACUGGGAUAACUUCGGGAAACCGGAGCUAAUACCGGAUAAUAUAUUGAACCGCAUGGUUCAAUAGUGAAAGACGGUUUUGCUGUCACUUAUAGAUGGAUCCGCGCCGCAUUAGCUAGUUGGUAAGGUAACGGCUUACCAAGGCAACGAUGCGUAGCCGACCUGAGAGGGUGAUCGGCCACACUGGAACUGAGACACGGUCCAGACUCCUACGGGAGGCAGCAGUAGGGAAUCUUCCGCAAUGGGUGAAAGCCUGACGGAGCAACGCCGCGUGAGUGAUGAAGGUCUUCGGAUCGUAAAACUCUGUUAUUAGGGAAGAACAAAUGUGUAAGUAACUAUGCACGUCUUGACGGUACCUAAUCAGAAAGCCACGGCUAACUACGUG
rnacentral:rRNA from 1 species